rnacentral:rRNA from 1 species
ACGCUCGUAGUUGGAUCACGCACUGGGCGUUAGUUAACGUUGGAAACUGCUGUACUAUUAACUCUUCGUUUCAGGUGUAAUAUGUUCUCAUGUUGCACCCAAAGUUGAGACAGUGCAGUGUUACCAAUGUUGUAAGCUGAUGCCCAGUAAUUGCACGUGAGGAUGACUUUUGACCUUUAGUGUGUCGAGAGUCGUGUCUCACGGGGUGUGCCUUGAGUAAAUCAGAGUGCUUAAAGCAGGCGUUACGCUUGAAUGUUGAUAGCAUGGAACGAACAAUCGUGUAUGUGUGCACUGGUUAUGGUGCAUGAGACAAUUACUACUAUCAUUAUCUAUUUAACGACGAUGGUGGUGGUGAUUGUUUAGUGUGCUUCAGUGUACGACACCGACCACCAAUAACGGAUGUUGGUUCCGUAUUGGGGUACUGAUUAAGAGGAGCGGUUGGGGGCAUUGGUAUUUGGCAGCGAGAGGUGAAAUUCUUGGACCUGCCAAGGACUAACAAAUGCGAAGGCAUCUGUCCAGACCGUAUCCAUUAAUCAAGAACGAUAGUGAGAGGUUCGAAGACGAUCAGAUACCGUCCUAGUUCUCACUGUAAACUAUGCCGACCCGGGAUCAGUUUGGAGCUAUAUAUCCACGCUCGAGGUUGGUCCCCCUGGGAAACCUUAAGUUUUUCGGUUGCGGGGGGGGAGUAUGGUCCGCAAGGCUGAAACUUAAAGGAAUUGACGGAAGGGCACCACCCAAGGGGUGGAGCCUG